rnacentral:lncRNA from 1 species
CACCUGUCCCUAAGUUUACAAACCUCUAGUGUCAAAUACACUACAUUAAAUGCCACUCGUUUUGUUCACAUAUCAAUUAUAUGCCACUCAUUAUAUCACCAAUCAUCACCGAGUUCAUCUCUUUCCUUUAGCACUAUAGUAUUCAAUGUUCCGACCCAAUCCUUACCUAUCCAAUUUACCAAGUAUUCAACUCACACUAGGUUAUCAUUUAGAAAGCAUAAGGAAAGAAAAUAACAAUGCAAUCCUACUAUGCAUAUGCAA